GAUGAACGCUAGCGGCAGGCUUAAUACAUGCAAGUCGUGGGGCAGCAGGGGUGUAGCAAUACACUCGCUGGCGACCGGCAAACGGGUGCGGAACACGUACGCAACCUACCCAAAACGUGGGGGAUACGGCCCGGGGAAACCCGGAUUAAUACCUCGUAACAUAAUGGAGUGGCAUCACUUUAUUAUUAUAGCUCCGGUCGGUUUUGGAUGGGCGUGCGCCUGAUUAGGUAGUUGGCGGGGUAACGCCCACCUAGCCUACGAUCAGUAACUGGUGUGAGAGCACGACCAGUCACACGGGCACUGAGGCACGGGCCCGACUCCUACGGGAGGCAGCAGUAAGGAAUAUUGGUCAAUGGACGCAAGUCUGAACCAGCCAUGCCGCGUGGAGGAUGAAGGUCCUC
rnacentral:rRNA from 1 species